rnacentral:rRNA from 1 species
GACGAACGCUGGCGGCGUGCCUAAUACAUGCAAGUCGAACGCAGUGGGGACGGGUGAGUAACACGUGGGUAACCUCCCAUCAGAGGGGAUAACACUUGGAAACAGGUGCUAAACCGAUACUGAUGGAUGGACCCGCGGUGGAUUAGCCAGUUGGUGAGGUAACGGCUCACCAAGGCCACGAUGCAUAGCCGGCCUGGGAGGGGGAUCAGCCAAACUGGGACUGAGACACGGCCCAGACGCCUACGGGAGGCAGCAGUAGGGAAUAUUGGGCAAUGGGCGAAAGUCUGACCGAGCAACGCCGCGGGAGUGAAGAAGGUUUUCGGGUUGUAAAGCUCUGUUGUUAGAGAAGCGGUAUCUAACCAGAAAGCCACGGCUAACUACGUGCCAGCAGCCGCGGUAAUUC